CCAGCUAACUGCAGGUGUCGCAAGGUUCGGCGCCUAGUCUGGUGACUGCAGACAAUGGCUCUCUGCCUCCGGUUUUUUGGACCAAAUCGCUAGUGUCUGCCGUACCGGGGAGACUGCAAGAGGGGUGGAAGAGGGAGGUAAGUACAUUCACUUUUGGGAAGGUGCAAAUCGAACGGCAUCGACACCCCCUCUCAAUACUCGGAUUUGAAUUGAGACUAGAGAGCUUACAGUUAGGACUCAGGAGGAUACUUCAGGAGAAUCCAGAAAUGCACUACAAAGUAGGGGGGUGGGGGCCAGCCUCGAAUUAACGUCCCAAUAUCUUGGUGGAACUAUUUCUGGAUACAACAAGUGCUUGUGGUACUGUACGAGUACUCGUGCCCCUGCGGCUACAGUGUCUAUUGUGCUGUACUUCCAGUGAAUGGCCCGUCUGGGUUUGCCAGUGACGUCCUAUCAGCGAGAUUGCAUUUGAGGGCAUAUCCUGAAAAUCCAUCACUUGAGAUAGACAGAAGAGACAUUUCUAUAACAAUAGCAGAGGGAUAUCUAAUAUCCUGGUUUGGAGUAUACUUCCAUUAUCCCUUUUACGGUAGCUGGACGUUCCGCUCUCAUAGCAGAGUCGCUGUUAUACAUACUGGUUCCUUCUCUCUUA
rnacentral:misc_RNA from 1 species